CCGUUCCUGGAGUACCGCCGGCGCUGCUUCGUCCAGAACAGAAACAGAACAUGCAGAUAAUAGGCAUAUGUUCUUUACACUGACCGUUUUGACCCUGAUGCCUUACCAACAGGCUCAGAUGGCGUAAUUAGCUUUUCUAAAGUAGGAGAUAGGAAAAUAAAAGUUUACAAAGUGGUUUCUCCAUGGGAUCAUCACAUAGAGUGCAUAUUUUCUUGUGUGGAGGCUACAGACACCGUUGUGAGACAACCCACUGUCACCCUCGUCAACGUUUAAUGAAGAUAGAUCAGCAGAAUUUAGGGAGAAAAAGUAUCAUUUGAGAAGUAAAUCACAUGAAAACAGCAGCUUGUGUGAUGUAUGUAUGUAAUUAUCAGCAGCUACCAGAUAUUAUCAGAUCAUUAGGUAUUAAGACAGACACACGGCCAUGAGCCUGGGCAUUGGAAGACAUCAAUUUGCGAGCUGCUCUUCUGUGUGAGAAAAAAGAUAUAUUCAGUAUGACACAAGCUUGCAAAACAACAUUUAGAAAACCUCUCUGGAAGUGUAUCUUCUUGUUUAUUAGAGUCCUUGGAACUGCUUGCUGUGAAUCUCAUCAGUCACCUUGGAUUCCUUUUUCUGUGAGAUAGCUAGUGUGCAUUCUCAACCUAUACAUUUAAAUUCCGCUUCCGUGGAAGGAGGAAGAUAAUUAAAAUAAUUAGUGGUAGUAAUUAUCCUUUUCAUUCGAACAAUACAGACAUUUCUGAGUGAAAAUGUCUAGUUUUCACCAGAAGAUGAAUAUAUGGUGUUUUCACAUGAAUGUUGAUCUGUAAAAGAAUAUUUAAAAAGGAACAAAUUCCAUGGAAUUGAAAGAAGGUAUGCUAAAAUCUUUGUGCAUAAAGCAUUAUUUUAUUUUCCUUUUAUUAGGGAACAGAUCUUCAAUACUUCACAGACUGUGCUGUGAUUUAUUGUUUUGGGAAUUUAUUUUAAACUGCAGAUAUUUUUGUACAUACAAGAAGAGGAAGCAGCAACAACAGCAAUUGACUUGCAGCACAUUUCCACAUAUACACGCACACAAAGAAAUCAUUGCAAAACAGGACUCUGGGACUGUCUUGUACUUCAGCAACCAAACCAUCUUAUGGUUUCUCUUCUCUUUUUACCAUUCUGCACUCUUUCCUCCUGCUGACAGGGUGAGCCUACAGAUCAGGAAACCAGAUGAGGCCUGAUACUGAAAAAAACAUCUUGCUUUAACUACAGACGAAGUUCUAAUUUGUAGCAGACAUUAAGAGACCAUGUUUACAUCUGAAAUGAUACUUUAGAUGACAGCUUUGACAAGUACAAAUGUCACUAAAAAGCAGGAUGACCCUUUUCAUUCUCAACUGUCCAGAUGUGUACAGAUUUAUUCCAAAUAAUUGAACUGAAAUUUUUGCUUCAUGUCUAUCUAUUAAUGAACUGGAAAGUUAGUGAUGUAGAUUAAGUUUACUGAAUUGGUGAGAAUUAAACCUUUAAUCAGUUCCAAGCAUAGGAGGAACAAGUAAUGAUUAUUUCCAUGAGUUAAGGAGAUCUAUCUGUCUCAAAUGUAGCAGCAGUUGUGUCUCUUUUGACUUUUUAAGAGAGAGUAAAAAUAAGACUUCUUCAGCUCCCUAUUCAGUCUUCAUCCUUUCUGUAACUAGGAUAGGUUGGACCCUUACCUUCAGAGUGUCAAACUCUCAUUUAACUGCCCUUUGUUGAUGCUUAGAUAAAUUCAUCCUUAUUCAACAUUUUAUAGCACGAUACAUACCUUUUGUUAUUUGUUCCUUUAAUUGUUGCUGUUCUUUGUAACACUCUGCCAUUUACUUAAGACUAAAGCGCACCAAAAAAAAGCCAUAUGUGAGUCCUGAUUUAUAUAAAGGCAUGGGGUAUAUAAAAAUUUCAUUGGCUUUGCAAGAUUUGACAGUACAGGUAUUUUGAAGCACCAGUAUGUUUAAGUUACAGCUUACUUGAACGUUCCCUUAGCAGGCCAAUCUGCAGCAGCGAAAUAAGCUCUUGAGAAUAUGGUUUUAUAUUGUUACAUUUUUGGUUAGCAUGAGUAAGUUGGUUAGUGGUGUGACUACUGUAAUGUGUCUCUACUAGUAAGAAUGUGAAUGCUUAUUUCACAGUUUGAGUCUUACAUAGAAAUGAAAAGAUACAGAAAGAAAAUCAGUUGAGAGUAAAACUUAAUUUGAAAGCCUUACUACUGACAAAGAUGUUCCAUGCAUUAUUCAGAAUUAUAUAGAUUUUGAAAUUAUGUCUUUUGUUGAAUGGCUCAGAUUUUGCAAUGUUUGUGUGGGGGGGAAAAAAAAAGCCAUUAGAAAGUCUGUCGAUUCUUGUGAGAUAAAAGAGCUAAAAUUGCAGACAAAUGAGAAAAGGAAAAGCACUGAUACGGACAGGUAUAAGAUGAAAAGAAAACAUAGAAUGCCAGAAAUGACAGACAAAAAACAGAUUGUGCUCCAGGGAUCUGCAAAAAGUGAUCCUUCUCCUCAGAACUGUCUGCUUGGCUAGCAAUGAUUCUUCAUUGAAAGAGAGGAGAUAAUUAAUUUCCAUUGUAAAAGAGGAGAGUUCUGCCUGCAGUUUAUCACUUCAGUGCCACUUAGAUUGACUUCAUUGAAGCUAAAUAGGCAAGAGAAAGAAAGGUGUCAUGUCUCGCUGAAUCCAGGUUACAUGUGGCAGCAAGCAGCAAAGCAGCCAUCAAAUGGUGAUUUCCUGACUUUAUUUCCCAGGAGUCCAAAAUGCAAGAAGUUUUGCUCAAGAGCAAGGAGUCUACCUGUCUCAUUCUCAAGUGGCACGGCUUAUCAGUACUGGGAAGACUAUGGAAGACCUAAACCCUUUUGGAACAACAAAAAUGACUUGCAUUCAUUCAUACAGCCUUACAGGUGAAAU